rnacentral:rRNA from 1 species
AAGUCAGAGGUGAAAUCCUGCAGCUCAACUGUGGAACUGCCUUUGAUACUGGUUGACUUGAGUUAGAGUGAAGUGGUUAGAAUGUGUAGUGUAGCGGUGAAAUGCAUAGAUAUUACACAGAAUACCGAUUGCGAAGGCAGAUCACUAACUAUGUACUGACGCUCAUGGACGAAAGCGUGGGGAGCGAACAGGAUUAGAUACCCUGGUAGUCCACGCCGUAAACGAUGGAUACUAGCUGUUCGGCCUUAUUCUGUGGUGUAGCGGAUAACGCGAAAAUGACCCCGCCUGGGGAGUACGGCCGC